rnacentral:rRNA from 1 species
AGUGAACGCUGGCGGUAGGCCUAACACAUGCAAGUCGAACGGCAGCACAGUAAGAGCUUGCUCUUACGGGUGGCGAGUGGCGGACGGGUGAGGAAUACAUCGGAAUCUACUUUUUCGUGGGGGAUAACGUAGGGAAACUUACGCUAAUACCGCAUACGACCUACGGGUGAAAGCAGGGGAUCUUCGGACCUUGCGCGAUUGAAUGAGCCGAUGUCGGAUUAGCUAGUUGGCGGGGUAAAGGCCCACCAAGGCGACGAUCCGUAGCUGGUCUGAGAGGAUGAUCAGCCACACUGGAACUGAGACACGGUCCAGACUCCUACGGGAGGCAGCAGUGGGGAAUCUUGGGCAAUGGGCGCAAGCCUGAUCCAGCCAUACCGCGUGAGUGAAGAAGGCCUUCGGGUUGUAAAGCCCUUUUGUUGGGAAAGAAAAGCAGCAGGUUAAUACCCCGAUGUUCUGACGGUACCCAAAGAAUAAGCACCGGCUAACUUCGUG